AUGUUAGCGGCGGACGGGUGAGUAACACGUGGAUAACCUACCUAUAAGACUGGGAUAACUUCGGGAAACCGGAGCUAAUACCGGAUAAUAUUUUGAACCGCAUGGUUCAAAAGUGAAAGACGGUCUUGCUGUCACUUAUAGAUGGAUCCGCGCUGCAUUAGCUAGUUGGUAAGGUAACGGCUUACCAAGGCAACGAUGCAUAGCCGACCUGAGAGGGUGAUCGGCCACACUGGAACUGAGACACGGUCCAGACUCCUACGGGAGGCAGCAGUAGGGAAUCUUCCGCAAUGGGCGAAAGCCUGACGGAGCAACGCCGCGUGAGUGAUGAAGGUCUUCGGAUCGUAAAACUCUGUUAUUAGGGAAGAACAUAUGUGUAAGUAACUGUGCACAUCUUGACGGUACCUAAUCAGAAAGCCACGGCUAACUACGUGCCAGCAGCCGCGGUAAUACGUAGGUGGCAAGCGUUAUCCGGAAUUAUUGGGCGUAAAGCGCGCGUAGGCGGUUUUUUAAGUCUGAUGUGAAAGCCCACGGCUCAACCGUGGAGGGUCAUUGGAAACUGGAAAACUUGAGUGCAGAAGAGGAAAGUGGAAUUCCAUGUGUAGCGGUGAAAUGCGCAGAGAUAUGGAGGAACACCAGUGGCGAAGGCGACUUUCUGGUCUGUAACUGACGCUGAUGUGCGAAAGCGUGGGGAUCAAACAGGAUUAGAUACCCUGGUAGUCCACGCCGUAAACGAUGAGUGCUAAGUGUUAGGGGGUUUCCGCCCCUUAGUGCUGCAGCUAACGCAUUAAGCACUCCGCCUGGGGAGUACGACCGCAAGGUUGAAACUCAAAGGAAUUGACGGGGACCCGCACAAGCGGUGGAGCAUGUGGUUUAAUUCGAAGCAACGCGAAGAACCUUACCAAAUCUUGACAUCCUUUGACAACUCUAGAGAUAGAGCUUUCCCCUUCGGGGGACAAAGUGACAGGUGGUGCAUGGUUGUCGUCAGCUCGUGUCGUGAGAUGUUGGGUUAAGUCCCGCAACGAGCGCAACCCUUAAGCUUAGUUGCCAUCAUUAAGUUGGGCACUCUAAGUUGACUGCCGGUGACAAACCGGAGGAAGGUGGGGAUGACGUCAAAUCAUCAUGCCCCUUAUGAUUUGGGCUACACACGUGCUACAAUGGACAAUACAAAGGGCAGCGAAACCGCGAGGUCAAGCAAAUCCCAUAAAGUUGUUCUCAGUUCGGAUUGUAGUCUGCAACUCGACUACAUGAAGCUGGAAUCGCUAGUAAUCGUAGAUCAGCAUGCUACGGUGAAUACGUUCCCGGGUCUUGUACACACCGCCCGUCACACCACGAGAGUUUGUAACACCCGAAGCCGGUGGAGUAACCUUUUAGGAGCUAGCCGUCGAAGGUGGGACAAAUGAUUGGGGUGAAGUCGUAACAAGGUAGCCGUAUCGGAAGGUGCGGCUGGAUCACCUCCUU
rnacentral:rRNA from 1 species